CCUACGGGUGGCAGCAGUGGGGAAUAUUGCGCAAUGGGCGAAAGCCUGACGCAGCGACGCCGCGUGAGGGAUGAAGGUCUUCGGAUCGUAAACCUCUGUCAGCAGGGAAGAACGGUCACUGUGCUAAUCAGCAGUGAAUUGACGGUACCUGCAAAGGAAGCACCGGCUAACUCCGUGCCAGCAGCCGCGGUAAUACGGAGGGUGCGAGCGUUAAUCGGAAUUACUGGGCGUAAGGCGCUCGUAGGCGGUAUGUCAAGUCAAGGGUGAAAUCCCCGCGCUGAACGUGGGAACUGCCUUUGAAACUGGCAAACUGGAGUGUGUGAGAGGAUAGUGGAAUUACAGGUGUAGGAGUGAAAGCCGUAGAUAUCUGGAGGAACAUCAGUGGCGAAGGCGACUAUCUGGCACAUAACUGACGCUGAGGAGCGAAAGCGUGGGUAGCAAACAGGAUUAGAUACCCGAGUAGUC
rnacentral:rRNA from 1 species